AAAAAGACAAACCCUAGGUUUCCGUGUCCAACUUUAACUGUCCGUCUUAUAUAAAUUUUUUUUAUAAUUCGUAUUUUCAUUGUUGUUAGAUGAUAAAAAUAUGAUUAAUAUUUUAUGUGUGACUUGUCUUUUUAAUUUUUUUUCAUAAUUUUUUCAAAUAAGACGGACGGUCAAACGUUGGACACGGAAACCAGGGUUUGUCUUUUU
rnacentral:pre_miRNA from 1 species